ensembl:lncRNA
UUUUUUUUUUUUUUUUUGGCUUUUUAGGGCUGCACUCAUGGCAUAUGGAGGUUUCCAGGCUAGCUAUAAUUGGAGUUGGUGCUGCCAGUCUACACCACAGCCACAGCAAUACCAGAUCCAAGCCCUGAGUCUGUGACCUACAGGACAGCUCACGGCAAUGCUGGAUCCAUAACCCACUGAGCAAGGCCAGGGAUUGAACCUACAAUCUCAUGGUUCCUAGUUGGAUUGUUUCUGCUGAGCUACGACAGAAACUCCCCUGAGUUGAAUUUAAAUACCUAUAUGAUGCAAAGUUUGGAUUUCUUUCCCUCCUGGGCCCAUUUCUUCUGCCUCACACCUAUACUGACUUAAAUUCUGCCUUGGUGCUUCAUCAGACCAGGCCCUAGGUGCUGCCACCCCUUAUCUGGUCUGAGAUGCAAGAGGGACAGCCCCUGGUUACCUAUGUGCCUAGCUGUGGUCGUCGGCUCCCCACGAGACUGGUGUGUCCAAAGGCCCCUUCACGGGCUGGGAGUCAGCUCCAUGCUCCUGGGCAGGCUGGCCUCGGUCAUCAGGGCAACAGUGUUCACAGAGACCCAUGUCCUAAAAAAUCCCCUCUUCUGCGAGUGUCUGAGAUUUCACUUUACUCUUCGUCUCAAUUUUAGGGAUCUGAAAUGUCUUCUCAGCUAGUAUUUGAUACGAUGGAGAUUAGAGAAAGAUACAUUAAAAAUCAGAAAGACAAAUUCUACAUUCUUAAUUCUGAAUCCUUCUAUGACUACUUUAAGUUGUACUACUUACAGGUAAUCUGAUUAAGAGGGAAAAAAACUCUGAGUAGUAAUUAACCACAUGUUAAUGUCUAAAUAUUGAUAAAAGUCUGUAGGCACCAGCUCCUUUUUCAGAAGAGUGUAGAGUAUUUAAAUAUUUAUAUUAAUAUCAGAAAAUAUAUUUAACUGAAUGCAAUAAAAAGCACAAAAACAUCCAUUUUGGGGUUGUAACUAAGGCAGGGCUUAAAGGGAAAUACAUAGUUUUAAAUGUCAAGAUCAGAAAAGAAGAAAGAGCUCAAAUCACUCAACAAAGUUUCCACUUUAAGAAACUAGAAAAAGAAGAGCAAACUAAACCCAAAACAACAAAUUAAGAGCAGAGCAAAAAUCAACGAUGGAUAAUAGAAAACUGAUAUGGAAAAAAUCCUGGAAACAAAAGCAGGCUUUCUGAAACAAUCAAGAAGAUUGACAAACCUUAGUUAGAGUGAUCAAGAACAAAAAAGACACAAUGGCCAAAAUCAGAGAUGAAAGCGAAGACAUCACUGAUGAAAUUUAAAGAGUUCUAAGUGAACACUGUGAACACUUUUAUGUCAACACUUAGAAGCUCUGGAUGACUUGGACAAUGCCCAAGAAAGAUCAAUUACCAAAGUGGACAACAAGAAACAGACAAUCCAAACAGAUUUAUAGCAAGUAAAGAAGUUGACUUCAUAGUUUAAAAUCUAGAUGGCCCUAAAAAUUCAUGGGAAAAAAAAAAGAAAGAAAUUUAACAAAAACUCAAAAAUAAAUUUAACAAAGAUUUGUGAAUUAAAAGUAUAAAAUAGCAUUGAAAAGAAGUGGAAACACAUUCUAUGUUGAAUACAUAGAAGACUUGAUAGAGCCAAGAUGACAACUCUUGUCAAACUGAAAAAUUCAACUCAGUCUCUAUCAAAAUACCAGUAGGCUCUUUAUAACAGCUGACAAAUUGAUCCUCAAGUUUAUGUGGAAAUUCAGAGGACCUACUUUUGAAGAGUUUCAAAAACUUAAAAGUACAAAAUUGGAAUGCCAACACUAUCUGAUUUCAGUUAUCGGCAUAAGGCUGGGCACAAAGAUCAAAGGAAAAGAAUUAAAAGAAAAACAGGAGUUCCUGUUGUGGCGCAGUGGUUAACGAAUCCGACUAGGAAUCAUGAGGUUUCGGGUUCGAUCCCUGGCCUCGCUCAUGGGUUAAGGUUCCUGUGUUGCUGUGAGAUAUGGUGUAGGUCACAGACGUGGCUCGGAUCUGGCGUUUCUGUGGCUGUGGCGUGGGCCGGCCCCUGUAGCUCUGAUUCGACCC